UACGUAGGGUGCGAGCGUUAAUCGGAAUUACUGGGCGUAAAGCGUGCGCAGGCGGUUCGUUGUGUCGGCGGUGAAAGCCCCGGGCUCAACCUGGGAAUGGCCGUUGAAACUGGCGAACUGGAGUGUGGCAGAGGGGGGUGGAAUUCCGCGUGUAGCAGUGAAAUGCGUAGAGAUGCGGAGGAACACCGAUGGCGAAGGCAGCCCCCUGGGCUGACACUGACGCUCAGGCACGAAAGCGUGGGGAGCAAAC
rnacentral:rRNA from 1 species